GCAAAUAUUCUACAUUACUUCAAAGAUAGUAUGAAACACUGGUUCACAGACAAAAGCUAUAAAAGAAACUUUUCACCGCAGGGAGCUUUAAAGAUCAUCCAGCAUCUUAGAUUCAGUAAAUAUAACACAAAACAAACUUCAAAAGAGAAGACAUGAAAUUGUACUCGAAAUCUAUCUAUAUUUCUUGGCAUCACAACUUUUGUGCGCUGAAGAUAAAUAUCACAUAACUUUCAAUGAGUAAAUUCUCAAAGCACACCAUUAACAACGUAAAAUAUGUAUUCAAAAAUAGAAUUUUUCAAGCUUUAUUUACUCGCGAUGUGUAUUUUUUCAACCACAAUCUACUUUAUAUUCAUCCCACCCAAUUUUUUUAAUAAGAAUAAAAACACUGUUAUUACAAUGUGAAUAAUAAUCAUUAAAUAUAAUCCUAAAUCUAUAAAGAAAAUAAUGAAAAAUUUAAUGUGAAGAGACUAUAACUUUUCCUUGCCGUCUGAACGUUAUUUGUCAUCCCAAGCUAAAUAAUAAAUAUAUAAAUAUAAACUUGAGAACGUGCUAUAAGAAGAAUAUGAAAAUAUAUACUUUUA